rnacentral:misc_RNA from 1 species
AAAAAAAAUAAAAAUAAAUAUUUAAAGAGAGAGAAAAGAAAACAAAGGAAUCGGAGAGUUUGUGGGCGAAAAUCGGUUUUGCACAACGAACGAUUCAACGGCAUAAUUUGCCGGCCAACAAAACCUCAAAAGACAAAAAUGCUUCUUUCUCUUUUCCUUCUCUGAUCUCUUUCUCUCUCACAUUCUCAAUUCCCUAACUUUUCUCCAUUUUCAAUGGCGUAUUGAAGAAGAAGAAAAAAGAAAGAGGAAUCACAAGAAGAAGAAGAAGUGUUCUUGGCAUUGGCGGAGGGGUUGUGUUUUGAUUGGGAGGUCGGUCCUCAGGUGAAAGAUCUGAGGUUUUUUUCCCUUUAUUUAUUGUUUUUGAAAGAAAUCAGCAAUCAAUAAAUAAACAAAAUUAAAAAGAAAUGAGCGCUUCGAGGUUUAUCAAGUGCGUGACGGUCGGUGAUGGUGCUGUUGGUAAAACUUGCCUCUUGAUUUCUUACACCAGCAACACAUUCCCGACGGAUUAUGUGCCAACUGUUUUUGACAAUUUCAGCGCAAAUGUGGUCGUCAAUGGGAGCACUGUUAACCUGGGUUUGUGGGAUACUGCUGGGCAAGAGGAUUACAAUAGAUUAAGACCUCUAAGUUACCGUGGAGCUGAUGUCUUCAUACUGGCAUUUUCUCUCAUUAGCAAGGCCAGUUAU